rnacentral:tRNA from 1 species
UAACGCUUAAGCACUCAGCCAUCUUACCU